UGGAGCGAAAUGAAAAUCAGGAUUGGAGCCCCGACGCGCGCUAAGCGUGCCGCCUUCGGUCCCCACAGACGGCAGCCCGAGUCCGCGGGUGCGAUCCUGGGCGCCUCCGCCGCGGGGCCGCGAGCCAACCUGGGGUCGGGGAGUCGGAGCCAGGAGUCGGGGUCCCCGGCUCAGCCCCCGCCCAUCCCGAGCCAGCGCAGCCAACGGGCGUCUCCGGAACUUCGAACCCGCUGCAGUCGCACUUCUCGGGGCCACUGAAGAUGGACGGACGGAUGGACGGGACCUCCCCGCUGUCCUCAGAGCCACAGCAGAGUGGCGGCCACCCUGAACACGGGGCACCUGACAGCGCUCUUGUGCGCGCCGGCUUUCUUCCAGGUCUUUGAGGCUCUGCCACCUGCUGGUAGCAAAGUAGCUCGCUGUUUCUUUUCCUUGCUAAUUGUUCCCCAAAGAGUUGUUAGUCUAAAGGAACUGUGGCUUUGCUGACAGAAAGUCUGAGGUGCCAGCUCUUAGCUGUUCCUGAUGCCAUGCCUUUGCUCAGUCAUCAUGGACUUGAGUGCUCCAAAACGAUCCAAUCCCCCAGUCUCAUCCCUGGCUCUACAGCAGAUCUUCUGGAGUGACCUCUCUUCGCUGUCUACUCCCAUGCCAAGGAGACUAAAUAAACAGGACCCUGG